rnacentral:rRNA from 1 species
UACAGAGGGUGCAAGCGUUGUUCGGAAUUAUUGGGCGUAAAGCGCGUGUAGGCGGCCGUGCAAGUCGGGUGUGAAAGCCCUCGGCUCAACCGAGGAAGUGCGCCCGAAACUGCAUGGCUUGAGUACCGGAGAGGAUGGCGGAAUUCCCCAAGUAGAGGUGAAAUUCGUAGAUAUGGGGAGGAACACCGGUGGCGAAGGCGGCCAUCUGGACGGAUACUGACGC